GAUGAACGCUGGCGGCGUGCUUAACACAUGCAAGUCGAACGAUGAAGCCCAGCUUGCUGGGUGGAUUAGUGGCGAACGGGUGAGUAACACGUGAGUAACCUGCCCUUAACUCUGGGAUAAGCCUGGGAAACUGGGUCUAAUACCGGAUAGGAGCGUCCACCGCAUGGUGGGUGUUGGAAAGAUUUAUCGGUUUUGGAUGGACUCUCGGCCUAUCAGCUUGUUGGUGAGGUAAUGGCUCACCAAGGCGACGACGGGUAGCCGGCCUGAGAGGGUGACCGGCCACACUGGGACUGAGACACGGCCCAGACUCCUACGGGAGGCAGCAGUGGGGAAUAUUGCACAAUGGGCGCAAGCCUGAUGCAGCGACGCCGCGUGAGGGAUGACGGCCUUCGGGUUGUAAACCUCUUUCAGUAGGGAAGAAGCGAAAGUGACGGUACCUGCAGAAGAAGCACCGGCUAACUACGUG
rnacentral:rRNA from 1 species